rnacentral:lncRNA from 1 species
CUAUAUUUAUUUAAACAUGAAUAUCUAACAAAUCUUUAGCACCAUUAUAGAUUUACUUAUUGCAGAUAGCACUAAAGAUGCUAAAGCGGAUCAACCUAUCAACUACACACUUACCUUGAACCGUAUGAAGCAACCAAAGCUGAUUUCCAACACUAAACCUGACAUAACCGCUUGUCUUGGGGCUUGGUAUACAUGGGAUCGGAUUCUUCAGACAGUUCUGGAAGGUAACGCCUGGUUUAGAUUAUUUAUCACAUUUUCUCUCUCUAAAUUUCGACACUAGAUUAGUUAGUAAGUAUUAAAAAAAAUAAUAAUAAUAAUAAUAAAAUAAUAAAAAAAUAUAAAUAAGGUCUAUUGUUUAAUUAGGAUGAGUCUGAACAGGACUUGGUGGCUAAAAUCAUUAAGGCUUGAUUCAUAAAGACUCAAAUAAAAGAGUUCGAAACAGGACUUGGAGGCGGCAAUCUUCAAGGCUCGCUUUCGCAAAGAACUCUUGGAUAUAGGUCAAAAAGAAGUGUACAGAACUUGGUGGCAACCACCAUUAAGUUUUGAUUCAUGGAAGCCUGUUCAAUCUUGG